GUGUAGUUGUUUGAACCCCGGAUCAAACUAAUCGCAACUCCUCCGACUUUCCAGAUAGAAAAAAAAUGCUGCAAAUCAAAUAUUUCCCAGGAGAGGGCUACAACUACCAGUUCUUUCCUGAUUAUCGAUUCUACUGCGACGAAAAAAUUCAAAGACCUCUCAGUUCUUAUUACGACUGGCCACAUAAGACGCGUAUUUGGUUACCUUAUAAAAAUUUGAGGCUCUAUUUCGAUUAUAUGCCAUCGAGGGUCCCCUUUAGGGAGCAGCGAAUCAGGCGUGUGCUGUAUCACCAGAGGUUAUAUGACUGAACCAGUGGAAAAUUGUGUUGUACAAAGACAAAAUUUUGUUCAUCGAAGGAAAAGUGCAUCGACGUAUGAAUGAACUUUGUUAUCAGACUUGAAAAUAUAAAUUGGUUCUGAA
rnacentral:misc_RNA from 1 species